UGUGGAGGUCAGGGCUAGUAUCAGGAUGU
rnacentral:piRNA from 1 species